rnacentral:rRNA from 1 species
CGUAGGCAGCAAGCGUUGUUCGGAAUUACUGGGCGUAAAGCGUGCGUAGGCGGUGCCUCAAGUUUGGUGUGAAAUCUCCCGGCUCAACCGGGAGGGUGCGCCGAAAACUGAGGUGCUCGAGUGUGGGAGAGGUAGGCGGAAUUCCUGGUGUAGCGGUGAAAUGCGUAGAUAUCAGGAGGAACACCGGCGGUGUAGACGGCUUACUGGACCAUGACUGACGCUGAGGCACGAAAGUGUGGGGAGCAAACAGGAUUAGAUACCCUGGAAGUCCACACCCUAAACGAUGCGUACUUGGUGUGAGCCAUUCAUUUGGUUCGUGCCGGAGCUAACGCGUUAAGUAUGCCGCCUGGGGAGUACGGUCGCAAGGCUG